UCCCAGACUCCUACGGGAGGCAGCAGUGGGGAAUAUUGGGCAAUGGAGGAAACUCUUACCCAGCAAUGCCGCGUGAAUGAAGAAGGUCUUCGGAUUGUAAAGUUCUUUAAUUGGGGACGAAAAAAAUGACGGUACCCAAGGAAUAAGCCCCGGCUAACUACGUGCCAGCAGCCGCGGUAAUACGUAGGGGGCAAGCGUUAUCCGGAAUUACUGGGUGUAAAGGGAGCGCAGACGGCAGUGCAAGUCUGGAGUGAAAGCCCGUGGCUUAACUACGGGACUGCUCUGGAAACUGUGCAGCUAGAGUGCAGGAGAGGCAGGCGGAAUUCCUAGUGUAGCGGUGAAAUGCGUAGAUAUUAGGAGGAACACCGGUGGCGAAGGCGGCCUGCUGGACUGUAACUGACGUUGAGGCUCGAAAGCGUGGGGAGCAAACAGGAUUAGAUACCCGCGUAUG
rnacentral:rRNA from 1 species